rnacentral:lncRNA from 12 species
CACACAGCUCAUCCCCACUGCCAUGAAAAUGAGAUAAUCUGGCAUCCUACCUUUCAGUAUAAUAGGCUGGGAAUUUGCAGAAUAUUCCUUGACCUUACUUCUUUCAAUAAGUUGAACUUACAAGACUGGUGAAACUGCCUGGUUCUGCAGCAGAUAUCUGGAUGGGGCAUGGAGACUGAGGGGGAAAUCCCAUGGAGGGGAAAGAUGGCCAGAAGAGCAAGGAUCUCCAGGGUAAACAACCCCCAGAUCCAGGAGAGCCUACACAGCACAUGGGCUGAUCAGACAGGCAGCUCUUGGAGGGAAGAGGACAGAAAAUACAGCCAUAAGGAAGGAAAAAUGUGUAGGAGUUCAGUUUACAAACCAGUGAAACCAACCCAUGGGCUAUAAAUCAGGAUGAAGUUAAUGUGUCUUACUUCAAGAAGACCCCAUGCAUUGAAAAAAUGAAGUCUGACUGAACUAAUGAGACUGAUUCAAACAUAAUGGAAAAGAUAUUUGGUGCUGGUGUGACAGCAGAGCAUCGCCAGGAGCAGCCUUUGUUAGAUCUGUUUUAUUGCAGACAUGCUGGUUUGAUUCUUGGCAUCACUGAGCCAGGGAUGUUCUCACUAGGAAGCUGAACCCAAAUCAUCUUACAUUUCUGGAGCUGUCUAAAGCUGGAUACUUGGAGCCACUUCUGAAGCAAAGCAGCUGCUUUUUGUUUUUGCUUUGAAUUACAGAAAGAAGAGAGAGUGUCUGUGUUGCACUGAGCCCUGUGCAUGGGUUUACUAGCUUGGCAUUCAUGGCAAUUUUCAGCCAACAGGAGAAAGUGAUAUUGUGUUGGUGUGGCAGCUCAGAGGGUCCUGGUGAUCACCAGCUCCCUGUGGCUCCCUGUGGUUGAGAUUUUAUGCUUUCAAGGAGGAUGGCAUGAAAAUACAUGUAACACUCAGACUGCUCAG